rnacentral:misc_RNA from 1 species
GAUGAAGAACGUAGCGAAAUGCGAUAAGUAAUGUGAAUUGCGGAAUUCAGUGAAUCAUCGAAUCUUUGAACGCACCUUGCACCCUUUGGCAUUCUGAAGGGUAUGCUCGUUUGAGUGUCAUUGUACUCUCACACUCCCGAUCUUUGCAUUGGGAGCAGUGGACUUGGGUUUGCUGCUUCACCGUCGCUUACCUCAAAUAGGUUAGUGCAACUCUUGGUUGGACAUAGUACGGCGUGAUAAGUGUUCUUCGCCGGUGCCUCGCAAAGAGGGUGGCCGAUCGGGAUGUUGUGCUCCAAACCGUCUUCGGACAAUCUCUGACGACUUGACCUCAUAUCGAGUAAGACUACCCGCUGAACUUAAGCAUAUCAAUAAGCGGAGGA